GAACGCUAGCUACAGGCUUAACACAUGCAAGUCGAGGGGCAGCAUGGUCUUAGCUUGCUAAGGCCGAUGGCGACCGGCGCACGGGUGAGUAACACGUACCCAACCUGCCGUCUACUCUUGGACAGCCUUCUGAAAGGAAGAUUAAUACAAGAUGGCAUCAUGAGUCCGCAUGUUCACAUGAUUAAAGGUAUUCCGGUAGACGAUGGGGAUGCGUUCCAUUAGAUAGUAGGCGGGGUAACGGCCCACCUAGUCUUCGAUGGAUAGGGGUUCUGAGAGGAAGGUCCCCCACAUUGGAACUGAGACACGGUCCAAACUCCUACGGGAGGCAGCAGUGAGGAAUAUUGGUCAAUGGGCGAGAGCCUGAACCAGCCAAGUAGCGUGAAGGAUGACUGCCCUAUGGGUUGUAAACUUCUUUUAUAAAGGAAUAAAGUCGGGUAUGGAUACCCGUUUGCAUGUACUUUAUGAAUAAGGAUCGGCUAACUCCGUGCCAGCAGCCGCGGUAAUACGGAGGAUCCGAGCGUUAUCCGGAUUUAUUGGGUUUAAAGGGAGCGUAGAUGGAUGUUUAAGUCAGUUGUGAAAGUUUGCGGCUCAACCGUAAAAUUGCAGUUGAUACUGGAUAUCUUGAGUGCAGUUGAGGCAGGCGGAAUUCGUGGUGUAGCGGUGAAAUGCUUAGAUAUCACGAAGAACUCCGAUUGCGAAGGCAGCCUGCUAAGCUGCAACUGACAUUGAGGCUCGAAAAGUGUGGGUAUCAAACAGGAUUAGAUACCCUGGUAGUCCACACGGUAAACGAUGAAUACUCGCUGUUUGCGAUAUACUGCAAGCGGCCAAGCGAAAGCGUUAAGUAUUCCACCUGGGGAGUACGCCGGCAACGGUGAAACUCAAAGGAAUUGACGGGGGCCCGCACAAGCGGAGGAACAUGUGGUUUAAUUCGAUGAUACGCGAGGAACCUUACCCGGGCUUAAAUUGCAGAUGAAUUACGGUGAAAGCCGUAAGCCGCAAGGCAUCUGUGAAGGUGCUGCAUGGUUGUCGUCAGCUCGUGCCGUGAGGUGUCGGCUUAAGUGCCAUAACGAGCGCAACCCUUGUUGUCAGUUACUAACAGGUUCCGCUGAGGACUCUGACAAGACUGCCAUCGUAAGAUGUGAGGAAGGUGGGGAUGACGUCAAAUCAGCACGGCCCUUACGUCCGGGGCUACACACGUGUUACAAUGGGGGGUACAGAGGGCCGCUACCACGCGAGUGGAUGCCAAUCCCCAAAACCUCUCUCAGUUCGGACUGGAGUCUGCAACCCGACUCCACGAAGCUGGAUUCGCUAGUAAUCGCGCAUCAGCCACGGCGCGGUGAAUACGUUCCCGGGCCUUGUACACACCGCCCGUCAAGCCAUGGGAGCCGGGGGUACAAGAAGUGCGUAACCGCGAGGAGCGCCCUAGGGUAAAACUC
rnacentral:rRNA from 1 species